rnacentral:rRNA from 1 species
AGAGUUUGAUCCUGGCUCAGGACGAACGCUGGCGGCGUGCCUAACACAUGCAAGUCGAGCGGAGAUCAUGGAGUGCUUGCACAAAAUGAUUUCAGCGGCGGACGGGUGAGUAACGCGUGAGCAAUCUGUCUCAGACAGGGGGAUAACGUACCGAAAGGUGCACUAAUACCGCAUAAGACCACAGAGCCACAUGGCUUAGGGGUCAAAGGAGAAAUCCGGUCUGAGGUGAGCUCGCGUCCCAUUAGGUAGUUGGUGAGGUAACGGCCCACCAAGCCUGCGAUGGGUAGCCGACCUGAGAGGGUGAUCGGCCACACUGGAACUGAGACACGGUCCAGACUCCUACGGGAGGCAGCAGUGGGGAAUAUUGGGCAAUGGGGGAAACCCUGACCCAGCAACGCCGCGUGAGGGAAGAAGGUUCUCGGAUUGUAAACCUCUGUCCUAUGAGAAGAGGGGAAGACGGUAUCAUAGGAGGAAGCCCCGGCUAACUACGUGCCAGCAGCCGCGGUAAUACGUAGGGGGCGAGCGUUGUCCGGAAUGAUUGGGCGUAAAGGGCGCGUAGGCGGCUUUAUAAGUCUGGAGUGAAAGUCCUGUUUUCAAGAUGGGAAUUGCUUUGGAUACUGUAGAGCUUGAGUGCAGGAGAGGUUAUCGGAAUUCCCGGUGUAGCGGUGAAAUGCGUAGAGAUCGGGAGGAACACCAGUGGCGAAGGCGGGUAACUGGACUGCAACUGACGCUGAGGCGCGAAAGUGUGGGGAGCAAACAGGAUUAGAUACCCUGGUAGUCCACACUGUAAACGAUGAAUGCUAGGUGUAGGGGGUAUCGACCCCUUCUGUGCCGGAGUUAACACAAUAAGCAUUCCGCCUGGGGAGUACGGCCGCAAGGUUGAAACUCAAAGGAAUUGACGGGGGCCCGCACAAGCAGCGGAGCAUGUGGUUUAAUUCGAAGCAACGCGAAGAAUCUUACCUGGUCUUGACAUCCUUCUGAAUACAGAGUAAUGUCUGUAGUCCUUCGGGACAGAAGAGACAGGUGGUGCAUGGUUGUCGUCAGCUCGUGUCGUGAGAUGUUGGGUUAAGUCCCGCAACGAGCGCAACCCUUAUCUUUAGUAGCCAGCAAUUCGGAUGGGAACUCUAGAGAGACUGCCGGGGAUAACCCGGAGGAAGGUGGGGAUGACGUCAAAUCAUCAUGCCCCUUAUGACCAGGGCUACACACGUGCUACAAUGGCGUAAACAAAGGGAAGCAGAGUCGUGAGGCCGAGCAAAUCCCAGAAAUAACGUCUCAGUUCGGAUUGUAGUCUGCAACUCGACUACAUGAAGCUGGAAUCGCUAGUAAUCGCGAAUCAGAAUGUCGCGGUGAGUACGUUCCCGGGUCUUGUACACACCGCCCGUCACACCAUGGGAGUCGGAAAUGCCCGAAGUCAGUGACCCAACCGUAAGGAGGGAGCUGCCGAAGGCAGGUCUGAUAACUGGGGUGAAGUCGUAACAAGGUAACC